rnacentral:misc_RNA from 1 species
UCAACCAUCAAGCCUAGCUUGUCGUUGGACCCAUUUGCAGCUGUAAUAUGCAGCAGGUCCGAAAGAUAAUGACGGCGUCGUGUUUGACCCUAGAUGCAACGAGCUUUUUUAUAGCACGCAUUGAAGUGGUCGGCCGACCCCGGUCUUUAACCAUCAUUUUCUAA